GACGAACGCUGGCGGCGUGCUUAACACAUGCAAGUCGAACGGUAAGGCCCUUCGGGGUACACGAGUGGCGAACGGGUGAGUAACACGUGGGUGAGCUGCCCUGCACUUCGGGAUAAGCCUGGGAAACGGGGUCUAAUACCGGAUAGGACUCCGGACUGCAUGGUCUGGGGUGGAAAGCUUUUGCGGUGUGGGAUGGGCCCGCGGCUUAGCAGCUUGUUGGUGGGGUGAUGGCCUACCAAGGCGACGACGGGUAGCCGGCCUGGGAGGGUGACCGGCCACACUGGGACUGAGAUACGGCCCAGACUCCUACGGGAGGCAGCAGUGGGGAAUAUUGCACAAUGGGCGCAAGCCUGAUGCAGCGACGCCGCGUGAGGGAUGACGGCCUUCGGGUUGUAAACCUCUUUCAGCAUCGACGAAGCGAAAGUGACGGUAGGUGCAGAAGAAGGACCGGCCAACUACGUGCCAGCCGCCGCAGUAA
rnacentral:rRNA from 1 species